UUCCAAAUGAUUAAACGUGUCUUCCUAGCGCUGGCCCUGGCGCCGUGCGCCCUUUCCCAGCUGCAGCUGGUGGCCUCCGGCCCUGGGGUGGGCAAAGUCUCCGAGCCCCUCACACUGACCUGCGCUGUCUCCGGGUUCCCCAUCAAUACCCGGUAUUACUACUGGCACUGGCUCCGGCAGCCUCCCGGAGAAGGGCUGGAAUCCAUGGGAUGGGUGUAUCCGUAUGACGGGGAUACCGGCUACGCCCCGUCUCUCCAAGGCCGGGUCACCAUCUCCGCAGACACCGCCAGGAACCAGUUCUCCCUGCAGCUCCGCUCGCUGACAGCUGCAGACACCGGCACCUAUUACUGCGCCAGGGGAGACACGGUGACACGGAGACAGGGGGCCUGGGACAAAAAGGGGGCGAGCCACACGCUUCGCCUCCCGGAGAGAAGGCACCUGACUCUGCCCCUGCGAUCCGCCCCCUCCCGCUGUCACUUGGAGGAGCCGCUUUGUGACCUUCCCCUGUUUAGACUGGUGGAAUUUGGCCCAGCAGUGGUGCAGCCCUCAGAGACUCUGCGACUCAACUGUGCUGUCUAUGGUUCCUACAUCACGGCUGGAGGGACCUUCUGGUAUUGGUUCAAGCAGAGUCCCAGGAACGGUCUGGAAUAG